CGGUCUUACAUCAGAUCAUUGAAGCCUGUUUGUAAAAACUAGUGCAAUGCAAUUUCUAGCGCUGCUAGUAUACAGGCGAUUGGCGAAAGGUUUGCAAGUAUACAUGUGCUUGUCACACUUUGAAAAUUAAUUUCGCACUUUAUAGCUUCUACUGGGCCACAAGUCUUUAAAUCAGGGCAAGGUGAAACCAACUAAUGCUUCUUCGCACAGUUCUUCUGCAGCUGCAUGAUUAUUGCUGAAUAUCCUUGUUCCGUGCUUGUGUGCAGUUGCACCGGUUGAUUCCUCGAGUUGAAUAUUGUUGAUCUUGUGCGGAAUAGUCUUGCUUUUUCUGGUGUUAUGCAGGUGUUAUUUAAAACAUAUACAGUAACCUCACAAAAGUUUGUUGGAAAAAGAAAAUGUUUUCUAUUAGUGAAUUCUGGAUUCUCCUUUGGGAAUUUUGUUGGCUCUUGGCCUGGUAAGAGAACAUCUGUGGGUGGAAUAAGGCUUUGCAAGUUUUAUUCAAAAGGUCUCAGUGCAGUGUGUUAGAUAAGUAUGGUUGAUAAAGAAGGAUUCUCUUUCAAGGCUUACAUCUGCUGUCACUGAGAAGGCUUGCUCUUUUCAGGCCAUCCAAGCAUCAUCAUCCAUUGUGGGUGUCACAUUUGAUGGCAGCUCACUUGACAUGCAAGGCCUCGAAGCCUCUGUGACUGUCAGCUGGGCGGCGAAACAACUUCCUUGAUGGCCUCGCUCCUGCAGCAGCAGAGUCUCGGUUGCCAGGGGCCACUGCGCCGGAGCACACUGAGGCUAGACUUGCUGUGGGGCCUGCGACGAUGUAGCCUGUGUAAUAACCCGCUAGGUAACGAGGGGUCUGCACCUUGGCUGAAGCUCUUACGGACAACCUCUGCCUCAAGGCACUUGACCUUCAGAGCUGCAAUAUCGGCAAUGAUGGUGGCUGCAUUGGCUAACCUGCUGCGAAAAAAUGUUGUGCUGGAGGUGGUGGACAUAUGACAAAACCCAUCCACUGUACGAUGUCCUCCCUCUGGGCAAUAGCCAGCUGCUGCCACCUUGUGACCAAAGAAGCAGGUCAACUGGUAGACCACAAGAG